CAGGAAAUGGUGUCAGGGCUGUAAACAGGCACAUGGAGGGGCCCUUAAAGGAGGUGGGCGGCCCGGCUGGGGGCCCCGGUGGGCUCCGGGGGGGUCCCGCACCCUGACGCCCAUGGCCGACGGCAGGGCUGAGCCGGGGGCUGCCCAGGGCCCCCGGCCCGAGGGGCAGCAGCGCUCGGGCGGCCGCCCCCGCUGCCCCGGCGCCCAGGACCCCGCGCGCGGCCCGGGACACGGCAGGGCCCUGCUGCGCGCCGAGGACGCCGCGGGCCGCAAGAGAGCCCGGCUCUGCCCCGGCGCCCGCACCGGCCGCCCGCCGGAGCCGCAGAGCCCCCGGGGGCCGCCGUGGGCCGGCCCGCAG